AACGAACGCUGGCGGCAUGCCUAACACAUGCAAGUCGAACGAGACCUUCGGGUCUAGUGGCGCACGGGUGCGUAACGCGUGGGAACCUGCCCUUAGGUUCGGAAUAACUCCCCGAAAGGGGUGCUAAUACCGGAUAAUGUCUUCGGACCAAAGAUUUAUCGCCUUUGGAUGGGCCGGCGUUGGAUUAGCUAGUUGGUAGGGUAAACGCCUCCAACGGGGAGGAUCCAUAGAUGGGUAGAGAGGAUGAGCAGCCACACUGGGACUGGGACACGGCCCGGACUCUUACGGGAGGCAGCAGUGGGGGAUAUAGGACAGUGGGCGAAAGCCUGAUGCACCAAUGACGGGUGAGUGAUGAAGGCCGUAGGGUUGUAAAGCUAUUUUACCCGGUAUGAUAAUGACAGUACCGGGAGAAUAAGCACCGGCUAACUCCGUG
rnacentral:rRNA from 1 species